rnacentral:lncRNA from 1 species
UUUCCUAAUCGAUGUCAAUUCUUCGCUUAGUUGAUUAGACUGUAUGGUGCGUGACUGUUUGCAUUUGAGCAUUGCAUUCGGUUAGUCUGUAAUUUUGAAGACCGAAUUAGCCUUCGCUUUGUUGGGUGAUUCGUGUCGGAUUUGAACUAGAGUAGUGUGUACUUGUCUUUAAUCUGGGAUAGGAAGCAUAAUAAUUGAGUUAAUGACCAACCGC